CUAAAACACAGGUGUACCUCAUUAGCAUUUGUUAAUUAGUAGACCGCUAUUCAUUAGUUUCGUAUAAAUAUGUGGCAGUUUUUUUAGUGGAUCAGUUGAUUGCACGCAAUUAAUAACACGAAGCAAACAUGGUUUCGAAAGUUUUGUCCUUCCUGCUCAUUGCCUGUAUUUUUGGCACCGUCAUCCAGAUGAGUUUUGCCGCCGUCUCAUCCAAGUCAUCCAACUCAUCUGAGGCAUCCGCCUCAUCCAAGUCAUCCGAGGCACCCGCCUCAUCCAAGUCAUCCGAGGCAUCCGCCUCAUCCAAGUCAUCCGGCUCAUCCGAGUCAUCCGACUCAUCUGACUCAUCUGACUCCUCCGAUUCAUCCGCUUCGUCCGAGUCAGAGGAAAAACCGGCGGUAAAACCUGCAGAUAAUCCUAAGAAACCUGGUGGUAAACCUGAGGAUAAGGACAAGCGAAAACCACAAAAACCGCCCACCAAACAGGAAGAAGCUGAAAACAAGACUGUGAUCAAGAAACUCGAGAUCGUGUUACCAACGAUUCCAACUUUCUCCCCGAUCCCAGGACUUAAAUCGAACGUCGACAAAGCUAAAGACUUGGUUGCACGCCGUUUGAACAACGGAGGCAAUUUUGUCAACGCCGUUGCGAACGGUAUAAGGUUGGCAGUCCGUGCUGCUAAGCCUAUCGUAGCCUUAGGCGACUUGAUCAGUAAAAUUAUAAGGGCAUUCGCCGAGGUAGCAUCAUUAAACCCAGUCCGAGUCGGAGCUUUUGUUCUUCAGGAAGGUGUGAAAAUUGCCACAAGUAUCUUGUCCGCAUCCACUCCUAUUCUGAUAACUGGAACUGUAAUGGUUGGACGUUAAAUAAUCAAUUACAAUGUAUUAUAGUAGAACAUUUACUUUAUAUGCAACUAUGUAUUAGUUUUGAUUGUAAUUAUAUUUACGCAUCAUAAAAAUGU